rnacentral:ncRNA from 1 species
GGGGAAGCCGGUGGAAAUCCGGCGCUGACCCGCAACCGUGAGGACGCCCCGCCCGCACCGUGCCCCCGGCCCGGCGUGGCGGGCCGUACGAGCCGGAGCACCC